rnacentral:lncRNA from 1 species
AACCUUGUUCAAGAUGUUUUAUCAUCAACCAACAUUUCAAAGCAUGUACCCACAAAAGAUAGGCAUUAGCUGCUCAGUUAUUGGGGUUGAGUGGUUUCUCAUCUUGACUUUGACCAUGCAGAUUCAGGUAAAGGAGGGACCAAGUAUGUGGUGAUUUCCCAGAUGUCGCUGCACUAGGCCCUCCCUGAAAACUGUGAUGCUGUCCCUCCUGCUCACUGAAGGUGGGAUUCAGGUUUCUUCUUGGAUCUGACACCUGUGGCUAUGCCGAAGUUGACCCUGUGUGACCUCAUAGGCUGUGUCAUAAAGGUGAAGUACCUUGCACUUGGGAAUCUUAGACCCAGGAUCUUCAAACCCAACCACCACACUGUAAGAACACCUGCAGGGAUGUAGGUCGACAUUUCACAUCACAGCUUUGGUGGGGCUCCUAGUGAGCACUCGAAAUCAAUGAAAACGAGAGCAAGAAUGAUUCAACGUGCUUCCAGCACCGGCUAUGAAAGAAAGCUCGAGAGAGAUUGCCCAGCUAGAUGAAGGACACCAGAAUCUGAGAAGCUGAUGCAACAUGACCAGCCCCCUCAGAUUCCUGCUGCUGCGGCUUCACUGCUAUAAUGGACUGUAACCUGGAACUGUGAGUUAGCUGUGACCAUUGUGACAGUAUCCUGCUUCCUGAAGAUCAAGAGGUAGAGCCCUCAGCUCCUCUCCAGCUCUAUGUCUGCCUGCAUACUGCCAUACUUUCCACCAUGAUGAUAAUGGACUAAACCUCUGAAACUGUAAGUCAACCCCAAAUUAAAUGUUUUUUCUUUAUAAAAAUAGCAUGACUAUGUUGUCUCUUCCCAGUAAUAAAACCAGGGACUGGGGUAAUUAGGCCUGACCAAAUUUUUGGUUGAAGGAAUGUGAAUUUGGGGUCUUUGGAUUAGAAAAGCAGUUGAACACUUUUAAAUAUUGCUUAAUGGACCGUACUAGUAGACACAUAAGACAGUGGUGCUGAGAGUGAUUUGUACUCUGGGGUCCUGGUUCAAGAGGUUUCAGAGACAAUUGUUAGUAUGUAGACUAGAGACUAUUCUGGUGAUAUUUUGACUAAGAAUUUGGCUGCUUUUUGCCCUUGUCUAAAAGUUUGCCUGAGACUAAAAUGAAAAGUUUUAUAUUACAAGCAUUGACAAAGGAAAUCUGAAACCAGCCUAGUAUAGAUUCUAUUGUGUGGUUACUACUGUUAAUUCUUAUGAAUAGUGUUUUGAUAAAAAGGAGCAAUCUGAGUAAAGAAAAUUACAAAAUGUAUGGUUCAAAGAGAAAGGGGGCACCAGGAGGUGGAAUGGAGCUAAAUCUUGUGUUCAAGGAGAAAAACAGAUAUAGAAAUGGAAUAGAGUGGUGACCUCAAGGGAAGACCCCACCUAGCUAAACUUGAGAAAAGAAAUUAAAGAAAAGCUUAGGUCUAGGCAUAGAGGUAUACACCUUUAAUACCAGCACUCAGGAGAUAGAGGCAUGAAGAUCUCUGAGUUUAAGACCUAUCUUGGUGUGUGAAGCUGAAAAGGUGAAGCCUAGACUGCUUUAGAAACUCCAAGAGGUUAUAAAUGGCAGAGCUGGAGGAUCCCUGCCAAGGAGAGCUGCUAACAGUUCUGAAGAAGGUUUUGAUGUCAAACACAGAGAUGCAGAGUUUGGAGUUUGCUCAUCUAGUUUUUGGUCUUGCUUCAUGUUGGGGUAACAUUUUUGUACACUGUAUGAAGGUGUGUCUCUGUCCUUCCUCAUCUGCUUAAGGCAUUCUCUGAUUGGCUUUAAUAAAGAUCUGAUGGCCAGUAGAUGAACAGAAAAUAGAAGGUGGGACUUCAGGGCAGAUAAAGGGUCUCCGAGAGAGAAUCCAAGGAUUUGCCGAUGUGAUUAGGAGGAGGUCGGGUGCACUGGAGCAAGAGCAGGUGACAGGCCAUGUGACCUAGAAUAAACAGGUUAAUUAAAUUAGAGGUAGCUGGGAGGUAGCCUUGCUACAGUGUCUAAGCAUUUAUAAAUGGCUCCCUAACACAAUGGCAAGAAACAGAUUUUUUGAAAACUAACAAACCAUGCAAUUCCCACUAUGCAGCGUCCUAAAGGUAAAGGCUGAGACAAUUUCUCUACCUGAAUACCACCAUGAUGGGACACCCCUUCCUGAUGAUAAUGGACUAAACCUCUGAAGCGCAUCCAACUGUUCAUAUUGGGACCUUCCUGAACAAGGCAACCUGUAAACAACUGCACAGUGAUCAUCCUGCUGCCACCUUCUACCUUCAGUUCUGAAAUUAAAAAGCUGUAAAAUGAAUAUCCAGAAAGGCACAGAAUCUAAGACACGGCUCCUUUCAAUUAAGGGUAGCCUGGGACUUUAAAAAAUGUGAUCCAUCAGGUGGGAGCUGAUUUUUAACCCUUGAGUGCCUGUCCCUUAGCACCCUGAAUAGCAAGAUAGUAUGUCGACAUGAUACAGUCAACUACCAGUGUAUGUGGUAUUUGAGAAGAGCCAGAAUUCUUAGAUUGAAAUAACAAAUGGAGACAAGAAGGGAACACAGUGGAAAACAAGAUCUAAACUGUAGACUUGGAGGACUCGGAUAGGUCCAGAGCCAGAUUUCAGACAGUGUGGACCUCCCUCUAGAGUAACCGUCCUAAUGCUGCAGCUCUUCAGUACAGUGUCUCAUGUUGUGGUGAUUCCCCCAAUUAUAACAUUAUUUUUAUUGCUACCUUAUAACUGUAAUUACUGUUAUUAAUCGUAAUGCAAAUAUCUGAGAUGCAGGAUAUCUGAUAUGUCUCUCUCUCUCUCUCUCUCUCUCUCUCUCUCUCUCUCUCUCUCUCUCACACACACACACACACACACACACACACACACACACACACACACAGAGUACCACCCUAUGAAAUGGUCAGUCCUAAAGGGUCGAGACCCACCGGUUGAGAACCUCUGCUCUUGAGUGUGCUGCUUGGCACCAGAACUAGGAAAAUGGACAAGACUUUGCCCAAUACCCAGUCAUCUGGUCCAGUGGAACAACACACUGAAACGUCCAGCUUUGCCUGUGCUUCUGUAGUGAUGCAGAGUUACAGAAGACCAAAGUGCGCAUGGGUAUCCAACUCAAAUCCUUUCACAACUCAGAACACAGCCCAAGAAGAGCUGAGCGCUUUCUCCUCCUUGCCUCUGUCUGUGAGUGUGUGCAUACGACGCUCCUGAUGAGGAAGGCUAAGAACUUGGAAGCCUGUUGGCUUAUGCAGUAGACCCAUCUGUGCGGGGCUUGUCUUUCUCAGUGACCUUGGAUCCUGAGAUGAUAAGGUCAAGUAAGGAAGAAAAACCAAAGUUCUCCAGACAUGGCUGUGCCUCGUUUGUUUGCGCUUGCUUUUGUUUAGGUUUUCCUGCAGGAGUUCCUGGAUGGCUGAUCCUUUCUGCCUAGAUUUUGGAAAUACUAUAAUUAUGCUAAUUAAGCCAACUGAUUGAACAAAUGUAAAGCGCUUAGAAUAGGUUCUUGGAUGUUAGAGGUCCUCACGGCAAAUUAAUCACAGUGCUGGAAUUUGAGGUAUGUGCCACCAUCAACCAUCAGAGCUGUGUCUCUUUAAAUGUGGUCUGCCCCAGCAUCUUGUGGUUGAAAAUGGACCGACUCCUAACAUGUGAAACUGUAAAGUUUAAGAAAUCACGACCUCUGGAAGAGCAGCCAGUGCUGUUAACCACCGAGCCAUCUCACCAGCCUGGAAGUUGGUAUUCUUUCUAAAACAUUUUUUUAAUUGGUUCUUUGUGAAUUUCACAUCACGCACCCCAAUCCCACUCAUCUCUCCCUCUCCCCUCAUACUGACCCUCCACCCUUGCAACCUGCCCCACAACAGAGAGAGAAAAAAAAGCCUCAUUGUGGAAGCAGUGUGUCACAGUGUGUCCCCACUUCUUUGCUUGCAAAUGUUCAUUGCAAUGACUUAAUGGUCUGGUACGAGGCCUCUGGCUUCUGCUAGUCUAUCAAUACUGGAACCUCACUGGGACUCCUCUUGGAUUCCGUUGUUGCCCUGUGUCAUGGAGAUUCUGUAGUUUUGGAUCUGUAGGACUUGUUCCUUCAGGCACUCCAGCAGUUCAUCAACAGGGUAGAUGUUAGAGUGGGACAAUUCAAAACCCCAGAUCUGGGCCUGAGAGGUAUUUGAGCUGGCCAGCCUGUAAAAUCUUCCCCUCUCUCACCCUUGGGGCCAGCUCACCAGCAACCUCUGCAACCAGGGCCAGCUCUCCUGUGCUGUCCAAGUGAGGGGCAGGGCUGACUCUCCUGCUCUCAUGACCUCAUCAGGGCCCACUAACUCUCCUGCCUGCUGCUGGUGGUGAGGGCAAGAUGGAGGGAAGGGAUCUCUCCCUCACUGACACUACUACACAGCAGACAAGAGGCAGGGCGUAGUCUCCCACACGCAUGCAACACCCACAUCCAGGGUCAGCUCUAUUGAGUUGCUCAGGUGAGGUAACAGGGGAUGCUCUUCUGAGUGCUUCAGCAGCUGAUGGACAGGGCCAGCUCUCCUGCUUCCAUGACCCCAGGGUCAGGUCCUCUGCCUGAUGUAAGCGGUGAAGGGUAAGAAGGGAAGAAGGUAUCUCUCUUUGGUCCAUGCCACUGUAUGGACUAUUAAGGACAUGGUAGGGCCUACCAUGGAGUGGUAGGGGCAGCUCUUCCAUGCUCACAUCCUUAGGCUGGGUCACCUGCAACUCCCGCAAUGUGCAGGGCCAAUUCUCCCGAGUCCUGUAGGGACAGAGUCAGCUCUCCUACUGUCAUGCCCCCCAGGGUCCCCUCUCCCAUGACACCCAGGUGAGGGGUGGGGCCAGUUCUGCACUUUCCUCAGAUAGCAGUGUGUCCUAGUGUAGCAGCUUAGACCAGGGACUUGUGCCUGGCCUUUGGUAGUAACAGACCCCUGCUACUGCAGGGCCAUGACUCCACCAUGGUCCCAGGUAGCUACUCAUAUUAGACUGUUCCUCACUACCCUCCAUUCUCCAGCUCUGCCUCUCUUUAUGUGGCCACAUCCUUCUGUUUCUCUUUCUCUUCCAUUUCUCCACUACGUAUUUGUUCCUCUUAGUGGUGCCCAGGGCAUAAUGCCUUGCUCAUGCAUUACAAAGUUGGGUAGGUUAUCUAUGCAUUUUGGGGGUUAUCUGCACCCCCAUACCUCUAUAAUGCAAGACUGGGGAUCAUCUCAGGCUAGCUCCCUGUCCAGGCCCUAUGGCUGCUGUUGUGGAUAGCCCUGGGGCUAAUUAUAUUUGAUGUUAAUUUCGUUCUCCUGUGAGUGGUUGUGAACAAGAAAUGAGACAGCAUUCAGGUGAUUUCCUGUAAACCUGCUUCCCACCUUAAUUUGUAAAAUAAAAGAGAGCUGAAGGCCUGGAGAAUCCACAAGUUCUAAGGGGUCUCAUAGAUGUGAAAGAUGGUAGUGUAGCGUUAGGUCUGCUCAAUCUAGGUGCACAGCAUGUAUUCAUAUUGAGUUGUGUUUUCAUUGCUGGGGUAUAUUUGGGUUGGAGAUUUAUGACAACAAAAUGGUGCCCAAUGCAUGUAUUUAAAUUCAACUGCCCUUCAACUCCUGAAUGGGGCUUGGACCUAGGGUGCAGCAGUGUGAAUUUGAAGCUGACUGGGUUUGAGGGGCUCACAGAGAAUGGCAGAAAGACAUCUACACCCGAGAGAACCUUUCUGUGUUUGCUUCCCUGUAUCCUUCAUUCCCCACCCGGCCUCCCCCACCUCCAAACAGGGACACAGCCAACACGUGUCUUUCUACACUCAGCUCCUCCCUGUGAAUAAAAAUGGGGAGACAAAGGUACAAAGGGCUCUGGACCAGGUAAUACAUUGAUAUAAAGAGAGAAAUAUAACCUUUUAGUACUUUAAGAUGGGAAAUGGAUUCACCUAUGGUUCAGAACUCGAUGAGGAAUAUUAGUCACUGACUCCAAGUAGAGAGAGCAGUGGUAAUCACCUGCUAUGAACAAGUAUUAAUAGAAGUCUGUGGCUCCAGGUAGAGAGCAUAACAGAUAGAUAUUACAAUAGGUAUUCAUUAAAUAGAUGUCUGUGGCUCCUGGUAGAGAGCACAACAGAUAAAUGGUAUAACAAGAUGGCUGCUCUAGGCAGAGAGCUUAACAAUUAAAAACUAUCUGCUUCCUAUAGGCAGAUAUUAGUGGAAGUUUGAAUUAAUUGCUUUAAAAGUGCUAUAAAGAUAGAUUGCUCUAAUAAGUCUUAUAGGGUACUCAUUUUCUGUCUAAUGUGGGCUCCACGGGAAUUUUGCGUUUAAAUCCUGAUUUGACAAGAUGCCUCUUAAAAGUAGGUAUAGAAAGGAGAGGGGAGGGGGAGGGAGGGAGAGAGAGUCUAUUAUAAACCAAAUAAUGGUAAAAACUAAAUAUAGUUGUAGAAUAUGAUAACCUGAGAGGGAGAGGGCAGAGGGCAGAGGGCAGAGGGCAGAGGGAGAGGGGAAGGAGAGAGAAAAGGAAAGGGGAAAGGAGAAGAAAAAGAAAAGAAAAGAAAAGAAAAGAAAAGAAAAGAAAAGAAAAGGGAAGGGAAGGGAAGGGAAGGGAAAUAGAAGUGUGAAUCAAUUGUUUUAAAGAUGGUAUAAUAAAAUCUGCAUGAGACUCAUAUUCUGCCUAACGUGGGCUCCACGGGAAUUUCAGGUUAAUAUCCUGAAUGACAAAUUGGAAAGGCCUAAAUAGACUAAAAUGUGUGUGAUUUUGAGUAUUGUAGUUGUUUUAUUCCUCUGGGACAGAUGGUGAGCUACAGGUUUUCCUGGUUACCGGCUGAAGGAAAUGCUGAUUUGGGGAAAAGAUGAUUAAGGUAUUUACACCUUCCAGAGUUCUAGGGAUCAGAUUUGAUAGAGGGAGACCCCCCCUGAGAACUAGAUUCCAGAGAAUCAAACAAAAAGGUUAUCUUGAUGAUACUAAAAUUUUGUUUUGAGAUUUAUAUAUUACAGAAUAUACAGCCUUGGUGAAUUUCAUCGUCAGACAUGCUGAACUGACCGGCCUGAACUCUUGAUGUCUUGGUUUUUCAUCUGGAUCCAGUCAGGACACAGACAUCAGGGACUAAUACAAUCAUUGGUGUGGCCUUCUUAAGGCCAACUAACUCGCCCAUUUCCCUACCCUUCCCCCUCCCUUCAAAAAUAUCUCAAUGCCCAUAUUCAGCUUGAAGAAGUUAUGAAGAGUCGUCGUUCCAGUUCCCUAAGCUUUGGGGCUGGGGGUGGUUAUUAUAGGUUGUCUUUGAUACUAAAAAUGUUGAAGUACAGGGCUUGGACUCAGGCCUUCUAUUGCUGUUAUUAUAAACAGAUCUGAGAUGCUUAAGCCUGUGAGUUAAGGGCCAAAGAGGAAAUUCAUGGCUCAGAGUUUAUUGUUAGGGGGUUUUCGGUUAUUUUAAUCAGAAAUGGCCGUGAGUAGUUAACAGAGAACAGUCCAGAUUACUUUACAUAGAUAGUUGGUUUUCAAAAAACGUCAGAAGUCCACAGAACGUGACAUUUAAUGUUAUUUAUUCACUUGUUGAGAGAAGUCUGCUAAUGACAGCUUUCCCUGUCUUGGAUUCAAAGAAGAAACUGAGCAUCUUUGAGUUACUUCAGUUGUGGCAAAACAACCACUAGGCAAGAAUUGCCUCAUUCAUCUACAGAUGUAAUACUGUCCAAAGAAAGGACACAAUUACAGGUUAGGACAGCUUGACUCUGCCGAGACAGAGUAGGCUAGUCCUUAAUAUUCCUGUUUCUUUACGUCAGGUGACCCUGGCCAGUAGGCUGAAGACCGAUGCUCCAACAUGCUGAAGUAAGGGACCGUCCAGGGCUUAUUUGGGUUGGAGAUUUACCACAACAGCUGCAGUCUGGUGCUUGGCUAUCUCAGGUGUUCUUCUUGUGGGAUUCACCCAAGUGGCCCCAUGCAAGCAUCAAUGGUCUCAGCUUCACUUCCACCUGAGCCCGUGGCCCUAGGUGGGGCAAAGGACCGAGAGAACCGGAGGUCUCACCGCUACUAAGACAAGAGAAGUCUGCAAGGGUGACAAGAACUACUAAUGAUGAAAGAUGUCAGCAAGACUACAAGAAGGAAACACUAUCUGAGUCCAGGGGAAACACCACCCCAUGUCUAGCAUGGUAUACUGCUCCUUGGAGCUCCAUAGAAGACUCACAACCAUCUGUGAUGGGAUCCGAUGCCGAUGCCCUCUUCUGGUGUGUCUGAAGACAGCAACGGUGUACUCAUAUACAUAAAAUAGAGAAAUAAAUCUUUUUUUUUUUUUAAAU